UACAGAGGCCCCAAGCGUUAGGCGGAAUCACUGGGCUUAAAGCGUGUGUAGGCGGGUUGGUAAGUAUCUUGUGAAAUCCCACGGCUUAACCGUGGAAUUGCUUGGUAUACUGCCGAUCUUGAGUCAUCUAGGGGCAACCGGAACAGAUGGUGGAGCGGUGAAAUGCAUAGAUAUCAUCUGGAACGCCAAUGGUGCAGACAGGUUGCUGGGGAUGUACUGACGCUGAGGCACGAAAGCCAGGGGAGCAAACGGG
rnacentral:rRNA from 1 species